UAUAGUUAGCCAUUGUUAGCAGCUAGCUAGCGUUACCUAGAUAACAUAUAUCAACCAAGUCUCCCAGCGCGAAUUAAAGACUACCAGAAUGGUUGUGGUGGAGUCUCUGUCCCUUGCGGUUGGGUCCUGGUUCCGACUCGGGAAGGAAGAGCGAUGGCUCCUGAUCCAGGGUUCUGAGACGGGGCCAGGGUUUGUGACCAGCCACCUCAGUGGUCCAGUCUCUCCCACCAGUAACACUGGAUAUCAUCAGGUCUUCAAGGACUGCAGUCUGCAAACAAAGAUGGUACAGAAAAGCAUAAAGGUUUAUAUAAGAAACUCUUUACUGUACACAAACAUGACAUUAUAAAAUGUUAACCAGUCAAGCCCAUCUCUAACACUGAUUGAAGUACCUAACAAUAUGGAGCCAUUGGAUUGAUCUUUUAUGUUCAAACUCCGUCCCUGCAAUGAUACAAAAAUAACCAAGUCAGUCAGGACAGUGUCAAUUUCGUAUUUAAUUAAAACAAAUCACAUUUAUUGCACAAAACGAUGUGACAAGUAGAACGACUUUUCUCAUUAUGGUAACACUGCCUUUUCUGUAAAUCUGGUACCCUCCCUUUGAUAAAAUGAAUGUUAAAAUA